UGGGAUGUAGCCAAGCGGAAAGGCAACGGACUUUGACUCCGUCAUUCGUUGGUUCGAAUCCAACCAUCCCAGCCA
rnacentral:tRNA from 1 species